GUUUUGUUGGAAUUUUUUUUUUGAGGAUUCUAGGGUUUAGUUAGGUGAAUUUGUUUGGUAGUUGAAUUGCUUUGUUGGGCAUUUCUUCUGAUUCGUUUUGAAGCAGGGUUUAGCUGGAUUAUGUUUUUGUUAUGCUUUUUUUAUGUUUAAAUUAGAGGUUAAUUUUCUUCUUUUUUUUUGACAGAGCAAGUGAAGUGUUGAGAUGU
rnacentral:misc_RNA from 1 species